GUGAGAAUGUAUACAAAGAUCAUCUCACCGGGCGCAAGCAUGCUGCAAUGCUAAAGAAACAUGGAGUAAUAAUGGUUGCUGCCACCUGAAUAAAAAAUAUUUGGAGUAGAAGAUUUGGCAAACCUAGUACUUCUGUGAUUUUCAUUCAUUACUAUGUCCAUAUUCUCGUUAGAAGGUGUUACCUGUUCUGCAUUGAUGAUGUUCUAGACAACAAACUUCCAUGCACAAUGUUCUUGUUGGCUAGUGAAAGACAUAUUCAUUAAAGAGACUUCUGGUGUUCAUCGAGCAUUUUCACGAUAAUCCUAAAAUCCUUUUAGCCUCGAGACAUGGGUCCAUUCACUUGUAUACAAUUGCCUUUGUCUUCCAGAUGUUCACAUGUGAAUCUCUGGCACAGCGUGGGAGACCAAGAAUCUUAUGCAU
rnacentral:misc_RNA from 1 species